rnacentral:rRNA from 1 species
UNUGGUCUGUCACUGACGCUGAGGCUCGAAAGCGUGGGUAGCGAACAGGAUUAGAUACCCUGGUAGUNCACGCCGUAAACGAUGAGUGCUAGGUGUUAGGCCCUUUCCGGGGCUUAGUGCCGGAGCUAACGCAAUAAGCACUCCGCCUGGGGAGUACGACCGCAAGGUUGAAACUCAAAGGAAUUGACGGGGGCCCGCACAAGCGGUGGAGCAUGUGGUUUAAUUCGAAGCAACGCGAAGAACCUUACCAGGUCUUGACAUCCCGAUGCUAUUCUUAGAGAUAGGAAGUUACUUCGGUACAUCGGAGACAGGUGGUGCAUGGUUGUCGUCAGCUCGUGUCGUGAGAUGUUGGGUUAAGUCCCGCAACGAGCGCAACCCUUAUUGUUAGUUGCCAUCAUUAAGUUGGGCACUCUAGCGAGACUGCCGGUAAUAAACCGGAGGAAGGUGGGGAUGACGUCAAAUCAUCAUGCCCCUUAUGACCUGGGCUACACACGUGCUACAAUGGUCGGUACAACGAGUUGCGAGCCGGUGACGGCAAGCUAAUCUCUGAAAGCCGAUCUCAGUUCGGAUUGGAGGCUGCAACUCGCCUCCAUGAAGUCGGAAUCGCUAGUAAUCGCGGANCAGCACGCCGCGGUGAAUACGUUCCCGGGCCUUGU